GUCGUGAGAUGUUGGGUUAAGUCCCGCAACGAGCGCAACCCCCGUCGCAUGUUGCCAGCAUUUAGUUGGGGACUCAUGCGAGACUGCCGGUGACAAACCGGAGGAAGGUGGGGAUGACGUCAAGUCAUCAUGCCCCUUAUGUUCAGGGCUACACACGUGCUACAUUGGCGCGUACAGAGGGCUGCGAUACCGCGAGGUGGAGCGAAUCCCUUAAAGCGCGUCUCGGUUCGGAUUGUAGGCUGAAACCCGCCUACAUGAAGGUGGAGUUGCUAGUAAUCGCGGAUCAGCAUUGCCACGGUGAAUACGUUCCCGGGCCUUGUACACACCGCCCGUCACACCACGGGAGUGGGUAACACCCGAAGCCGGUGGUCUAACCCUUUUGGGAGGAAGCCGUCGAAGGUGGGACCCGUGACUGGGGUGAAGUCGUAACAAGGUAGCCGUAGCGGAAGCUGCGGCUGGAUCACCUCCUUUCUAGGGAGUUCCGUAAAGGAACCCGAUCGGAUACGCGCCCCGCGCGCCUGCGACCUUCGUCGUCGCCGGCUCAACGCGGAAGGCCACGCCCGAUCGGCCUGGAAUGUCGACCGGACCUGAACGUGCCAGCUCGGCAUCCCGCUGAGCUCGAGCGCGUCGCAUGCUGUUGAGUUUUGAGAGACCGGCGCAGCUCGCCGGGCCACUGUGCCCGGUCGAAGCGCACGCCCUCUCGGACGGCCCUUGAAAACUGCACAGUAGCCACGCAGCCGCGCACUGACUCUUCGCGCGGCUGCAUCAGCAGUUGGGCCCAUCGACAUCGGGCCCGACUGCCGGGUAUCACCGGCCGGCCUUCUUUCCGAGGCCGGUCAGAAGAUCACCGUCAAGAUAGUAAGGGCACAUGGUGGAUGCCUUGGCACCUAGAGUCGAUGAAGGGCGUGGACGACUGCGAAAAGCCACGGUUAGGCGUUGAACAGCCUUUGACCCGUGGAUUC
rnacentral:sRNA from 1 species